rnacentral:lncRNA from 1 species
AUACCUAAUUAACCUAAUUUAAAACUUAUCUCUUAUUCCUUCUUUCUUAAAAAUAACAUAAUAUAAAAAGAAUACAAAGACACCAAAUAAUACUUGACUAAUAUAAAUAUACCAAUUAAAUCUUAAAAGCUACUUAACAUGUUUGGACAUCUUUUCUUUUUGCAUUGCAUAUUUUCAUAAAAAAUCUUAAGGAUAAAAUCCUAAUCAACAUA